rnacentral:piRNA from 1 species
GUCUCCUGGGUUAUGUGACUGUGAACACGC